CUCAUUUCUCGCCACAAUCCUUCCUCCUUGCCCUAAAACACGCUCUUUCUCGUCGUCUCCUUGCCGCCGCUCUUUCUCUGCGCUCUUUGCCCCGAUCGAACUCCCGGCGAUGCUCUCUGCGCCCUCUACUCUCUGCUCUCUGUGGUCCUAACUCUCGACGCUCUCUGCUCGCCGCUCUCCCUUCCCAUCGAACGUCCGACGGCCAAAGACUCUCGACGCUCUCUGCUCGCCGCUCUCCCUUCCCAUCGAGCGUCCGGCGGCCAAAGACUCUCGAUGCUCUCUGCUCGCAGCUCUCCCUUCCCAUCGAACGUCCGGCGGCCAAAGACUCUUCCCCUAGCCCUCCCCUGCCCUAAAUCUGCCCUGAUUUGAUUAAAAAUCCACAAUUUUAGCAAUCGUAGCAUGGAGGAAAGUCGUUGUUUCGGAUAGGUCGGCACUAUCAACAAUGAAAUGCUACUAGAUGACCUUAAGGUUUCUUUAGCAUUGUCAAAGACCUAUGCUAAAGUUCAUACAACUACUAUACUAAAGGAUGCCAUUGUGCUUAUGCAUGACAAACAACAAACUUGUGUUAUUAUCAUUGAUCACGAAGACUUUCUUGAGGGUAUUCUUACACUUGGCGACAUUAGGAGGAAAGGGUUUGAAACAAGUGGAGAGCUUCCUGCCACUCCCAGGCUUGUCAGGGGCUAAGAAGGCAGUGUGCCAAGCCAAAGCUUUGGAAGUCAAGAAGGGAAGUCAAGAAGUUUAAGCCAGAUCAGGAUGUCUCAAAUCUUUUUCCUUGAAACACAAUAUAUGGAUCUUGAUCUGUCUAUAUGAUACUUUUUCUUAUGUUUCUAAGCUUGUUCAAUGCUGUGUGAUAUGAUACUGGUUUCUUAUGUUUCUAAGCUUGUUCAAUGCUGUGUGAUGGUUAAGUGUAGCUGUGCAUGCCAUUUUAACAAACUGCUGAGACUUAAUUUCUCUUUGCAUAUUCAUUGUUUAAGAGUAAAGGACUCUUUGCAUAUCCAUUGUUUGAUGAAAUGAUAACCAAGUUUUAUAAUUUAACCAUUCCCAAGCCUGCCUUCGUCUGGAUUUCUCUAAAUUAUCGUACAUUUUCAUAUGCAACUGCUGCACAUGGUCAAUCCAGAUACUGCGGAGUUUAUAUCUGUAGUGCAGGCCCUUAAAGGUGGCCUUCAUCCUCAGAGGUUAGUUCAUGUGUUGGAUUCUAUGUUGGAUGUAACCUUAGCUCUUAAAGCAUUCAAAUGAGCUUCUACUCAAAUCAAGUGUUUUGGCUCCAUGAUUGAUUCUUUUUGUGUAAAUUGCAGGGAAUUUGAAGCUUUACUGGUAUUCAGAUAUUCAAUUUUAGCAAAACAGCAACCAUCCAUCUCAACAUGCUGCAACAGACUUUUAGAUAUUUUUUUCUCACACAGUGGAAAUUUUUUUUCAUCAUUGUAAUGUUUGUAUAUAAAGAAAUGGUAAAAUCGGGGAUUCUUCCAGAUGUUGUCACAUUAAAUUACCUUAUAAA